UACGGAGGACGCAAGCGUUGUUCGGAAUCAUUGGGCGUAAAGGGCUCGUAGGCGGACCUGUGUGUCUUGCGUGAAAUCUCCACCGCUUACCGGGGAGGGUGCGCAGGAAACUGCAAGUCUUGAGUAUGAUAGAGGGUCGCGGAAUUUCGGGUGUAGCGGUGGAAUGCGUAGAUAUCCGAAGGAACACCGGUGGCGAAGGCGGCGGCCUGGAUCAAUACUGACGCUGAGGAGCGAAAGCUAGGGUAGCAAACGGGAUUAGAUACCCCGGUAGUCCUAGCUGUAAACUGUGGAUACUAGGUGUGGGAGGUAUCGACCCCUUCUGUGCCGGAGCUAACGUAUUAAGUAUCCCGCCUGGGAAGUACGGCCGCAAGGUUGAA
rnacentral:rRNA from 1 species